GAAAUGCGAUAAGUAAUGUGAAUUGCAGAAUUCAGUGAAUCAUCGAAUCUUUGAACGCACCUUGCGCUCCUUGGUAUUCCUUGGAGCAUGCCUGUUUGAGUAUCAUGAAAUCUUCAAAGUAAAUCUUUUGUUAACUCAAUUGGUUUCUACUUUGGUAUUGGAGGUCUUUGCAGCUUCACACCUGCUCCUCUUUGUUCAUUAGCUGGAUCUCAGUGUUAUGCUUGGUUCCUCUCGGCGUGAUAAGUUAUCUAUCGCUGAGGACACUGUAAAAGGUGGCCAAGGUAAAUGCAGAUGAACCGCUUCUAAUAGUCCAUUUACUUGGACAAUACUUUUAUGAUCUGAUCUCAAAUCAGGUAGGACUACCCGCUGAACUUAAGC
rnacentral:misc_RNA from 1 species